rfam:Providencia rettgeri strain MR4 P_rettgeri_contig_77, whole genome shotgun sequence.
CUUCCUACAGCCUCGCGACUAAUGAGAAGAUUGAUAUUCCAGUCAUCAACGUUCUCAUUAGCCGCGCGAAUCGGAUGUAGCGAAGAGGCAUACUAAAACAGUUAAUUACGACUUAUAGCUUAACAUUUAAGUUAAGUACAAUUCGAGUAUUACUUCAACUUUCAAAAUAACUUUUAGCAGAAAAGGGGCCUCUGGCCCCUUUCC